UUGCACUUGUAUCAAAGGCCCCUCUAGUGAUAAUGGAGUGGUAUGAGCCAGGUGCAUAAAUGAAAACUGUUAAAUCAGCAGCAGCCAGACAACUGCUCAGAUGGAAUCCACUGGUGAAUGGUCAAUGUGCUACUUGCCUACUAACUCCAUCUUACAUUU